rnacentral:rRNA from 1 species
AACGAACGCUGGCGGCAGGCCUAACACAUGCAAGUCGAGCGAGGACUUCGGUCCUAGCGGCGGACGGGUGAGUAACGCGUGGGAACGUGCCCUUUGCUUCGGAAUAGCCCUGGGAAACUGGGAUUAAUACCGGAUGGGCCCUUUGGGGGAAAGAUUUAUCGGCGAAGGAUCGGCCCGCGUUGGAUUAGGUAGUUGGUGGGGUAAUGGCCUACCAAGCCGACGAUCCAUAGCUGGUUUGAGAGGAGGAUCAGCCACACUGGGACUGAGACACGGCCCAGACUCCUACGGGAGGCAGCAGUGGGGAAUCUUAGACAAUGGGGGAAACCCUGAUCUAGCCAUGCCGCGUGAGCGAUGAAGGCCUUAGGGUUGUAAAGCUCUUUCAGCUGGGAAGAUAAUGACGGUACCAGCAGAAGAAGCCCCGGCUAACUACGUG